CUAGCAUUAGGACUGCCAGCCCUUUGAAGAUCACCAAUGAGUUCUUGUAUUCACUUGGCUGAUUUAGAGUAAUAUACGAAAACCGGUGAGGUCCAAACAUUGUGGUGUGUGCAACCGCUGUAUAGCAAAAUUUGAUCAUCAUUGCCCAUGGGUGGGUAACUGUGUAGGUGCAGGCAACCAUAGAUAUUUUAUGGGCUACCUAUUCUUCUUGCUUUUUAUGAUCUGCUGGAUGAUUUAUGGUUGUAUAUCUUACUGGGGACUCCACUGUGAGACCACUUACACCAAGGAUGGAUUUUGGACAUACAUUACUCAGAUUGCCACGUGUUCACCUUGGAUGUUUUGGAUGUUCCUGAACAGUGUUUUCCACUUCAUGUGGGUGGCUGUAUUACUCAUGUGUCAGAUGUACCAGAUAUCAUGUUUAGGUAUUACUACAAAUGAAAGAAUGAAUGCCAGGAGAUACAAGCACUUUAAAGUCACAACAACGUCUAUUGAAAGCCCAU
rnacentral:lncRNA from 1 species